GGGUUGGGAUGUUGGUGUCGGCUGGGGGCUGCUGUGAGGCGCUUGGUAGCACCCAGUCCUGAUACUCUCCAGUUACCCGGUAGGCGGGGCUCGGACACAAAGAAAAGAGAUCUUUGGGGGCUUGGAUGGAGGAACAGGAAAAGAGGAGCCAGGCUUUUUUGGAAAAUUGGCGGCAGCGGUGGCAUACGGGAAACUGAAAUCUUUAUCUAAUCUCAUCCUUUGUAUAUUCGUCUUGGAUUUGCUGAAGAAAAUUAAAAGGCCAGGCCUACCACUCCUAUGGCACAGUAUUGAUGAGAGACAUCAGUGGAGCUCCCCACCUCCACCCCAGGCUUGGAACUUAGGGAAUGACUGGUUUUUGUCAUUUCACACAACAGCUGAAGGAUUCUGUCCCCACCUCGUCCUCUGUGAAGUCUGCUGGACGUACCUGCCAGAAUCUUCUGAAGAUGACGUUUGCUGAACACUGACCCACAGGGGUUUGAUGGAUUAUUGACAAUGAGACAAGCUGUCUUUUCAUCAAUUAGAUAUUCCAGUUGUUUCAGGUCAAUUUCCCAAGAUUUCUCUGGCUGGAGAGAAAGAAAGGAUGAGACUAAGAUGAUUCUGAAACAUUUAGGGGGAAUCCUCACUUAUCUCAAGGGUCCAAUGUAAGCAAUAAAGUCUGUCUCUGGCUUCAACCACCA
rnacentral:lncRNA from 1 species